GCCCCUGUGGCGGAAUCGGUAGACGCGGCAGACUCAAAAUCUGUUAUCUUCGGAUGUGGGAGUUCGAGUCUCCCCGGGGGCACCA
rnacentral:tRNA from 1 species